GUGCUUUUAUGAUGAAAUAUUUCCAUCAAUUAUACAGUUAUCCCUGUCUUAAAUACCAUGUCGAGAUUGCGAAUCUGAAAUGCAU
rnacentral:snoRNA from 1 species